rnacentral:rRNA from 1 species
UACAGAGGGGGCAAGCGUUGUUCGGAAUUACUGGGCGUAAAGGGCGUGUAGGCGGUCCGCUAAGUCUGAUGUGAAAGCCCGGGGCUCACCCCCGGAAGGGCAUUGGAAACUGGCGGACUCGAGUCCCGGAGAGGAAGGUGGAAUUCCUGGUGUAGCGGUGAAAUGCGUAGAUAUCAGGAGGAAUACCGGUGGCGAAGGCGGCCUUCUGGACGGUGACUGACGCUGAGACGCGAAAGCGUGGGGAGCAAACAGG